rnacentral:rRNA from 1 species
AUUGAACGCUGGCGACAGGCCUAACACAUGCAAGUCGAACGAGUGGCGGACGGGUGAGUAAUGUCGGGGAAACUGCCUGAUGGAGGGGGAUAACUACGGGAAACGGUAGCUAAUACCGCAUACCAUCAGAUGUGGCCAGGUUGGAUUAGCUAGUUGGGGGGGUAACGGCUCACCAAGGCGACGAUCCCUAGCUGGUCUGAGAGGAUGACCAGCCACACGGGAACUGAGACACGGCCCAGACUCCUACGGGGGGCAGCAGUGGGGAAUAUUGCACAAUGGGCGCAAGCCUGAUGCAGCCAUGCCGCGUGUAUGAAGAAGGCCUUCGGGUUGUAAAGUACUUUCAGCGGGGAAGCGUUACCCGCAGAAGAAGCACCGGCUAACUCCGUGCCAGCAGCCGCGGUAAUAC